GACAGCGUCGCUCUCAUUGGUAGUAUAAGCCUCCUUGCCAAACGGAGUGUGUGCUUUGCUCGCCCGCUCGCCGCUGCACCGACGCAAACCGGGGAUUUAAGGCUCCACGAUGAACCGGUGAAGUAAUCACAGUAACGCUGAAAACCAACAGGACGCGGAUACAUAUGAGCUCAAUGUGCUGGGAUCCACCAUAUGGCGCGGACCGCUUCACGGUUACAUUAUGGAAUAAUGGAGGACGUCUGUGCUGUCUGCUGCUUUGGACACUACAAACGGAGUCCUUUGCUCUGCUCACCUGCAAAAGCUGCCUGGGACGGUUAAUAAUUUUCCCUCAAAGCUUGUCUUAUGUGUAACCUCAGGUAAACGCAUGAAUACAGGCAGAUCUUUGCUAAAAGAAGAAGAAAAAAGAGCUUCUCCCCUCGUUUUCGGUCUGCAGGCCAGGGCGGCUGCAGAAUAAUAAGAUUACAGGCGCAAAAAGAGGUUUCUUCCAGUUGUCUCUUCUUCUUUUUUUUUUUUUUUCCUAAACAGAGUGCCAGCACUCGUAUGUUUCCGUGCAAACCUCUCUCCGAGCAGCGGGUUGCGUCUCUCCGUGUUCACAGCGGACCUUGAUUUAAUGUCUUACAAUUAAGGCACGCGGUGAAUGCCAAGAGAUGAUCCUCCUCUCUUCGAAAAGACAUCACGGACACCGUGAAAUCAUUGAACUGUAUUGUUUUAUUAGUUUAUAAUUUAUGUAUUGCCCGUGUGUGUGUGUGUGUGGUUUUUUUUAACAAUAAAGUGAUUGCAUAUGAGAAAGUUCUGGUUCCAUCUGAGCAUACAUGCUCCUAGUGUGUGUGCGUGCGUGUGUGUGUGUGUGUGUGUGUGUGUGUGUGUGUGUGUGUGUGUGUGUGUGUGUGUGUGUGUGUGUGUCCAAUAGGAGCAAUAGGAGCUUUCCAUCCCAGCACAGGCUGCCAGCAGCGCUGUCCACCUUCUGUGGUGCUGAAAUCUGCAGCCUUUUGUUUCAGUCGCCUGCAGCCGGCGUGGAAGCGGAAAUCAUGCAGUGCGGGAUUCAGACUGCGCAAAGCCCACACAUCGGCGUUCGUUCGCAUACCAAAUCAGAAUAACAAACUGCGCGAACACGAAGACAGCAGGGGUGAACACGUUCCAGCUCAAAUUUGUGAAAAAAUUCCCCAGAAUUUACGACGUAACUAUAAAUGCCGGUCGAUUCCGUUUCUUAGAAAUGUGAUUAUUUUUACGUCAUUUUUUUCAUAAUUUCCGCCCUGUAAUAUGUCCCUAAAAUUCAAGUGCCUCAAAGCAGUAAUGAUGUACAUACAGGGAGCAUACCUGAGCAGAGCUGCUCAAGACCAAUGUCACAUUAAAUUGAUAUUGAGAGGUCGGAAAACGUGCUUGCCUCGACUAAAUGUUCUCCCACAGCAGGCGGCCGGCAGAGAGCUGAACGUCACCCUGAGGAAAUAUAAUUCUGCAUGAGUUCGAGGACCAGAUUUGAAAAGUAGCGAAGACAUUUAAAAUGCAUCUAAUGUGUAACAGUUUCAAUUCGGAGUGACAGAAUCAAAUCAUUUCACGAGUCUGUGAAAUUUUGUCAUGUGAUGAGUGGAUGGAUGGAUGGAUGGAUGGAUGGAUGGAUGGAUGGAUGGAUGGAUGGAUGGAUGGAUGGAUGGAUGGAUGGAUGGAUGGAUGGAUGGAUGGAUGAGCCAUCCAUCCAUUCAUUUUCAAGAAGCUGUUCUCUUAAAAUGUGUUCAAAAUAAGCACUCACUUCUCCUUUUAUGUUCAAAAACACUUUAAAUUUAAGAUCAUUUCACCACCAAACAGGCUGGAAGAGAUGUGACAAAGAAACAGUUUGUUGUUGUGUCUCUGUAGGAAGUCAUAACCACCAUCUGCAUCUGCAUCAUUUCUUUAAACGGCAGUUGUUAGUGUAGCCAAAAAGAGCGCCUCCUAUGUUUGUCAUAUCAUGGUUAUUACACCUCGCUCCGUGUUGCAAACCCGAUUCAAAUCCAAACUCAACAGCAUGAGAGUCUGGCCUCUGCUGAUAGCAAGAAAAAAAAAUCUUUAAGUUGAAUGAAAUCCAUAAAGCUGCCAUCGAGCAUGUUCAUGGAUGUACUGCUCCCCCUGGAGAGCCGUCUGGGUCCAUCUCCUGUCUUCUUCUGGAGGCUCUCCUGCCCUCUUGUGGCAGAAAUCAGAACUAUUGUCAAACAUUCAGAUACAAAGUAGGUUAUUUUUGACAUAUAUCACAACAAAUGUCAUCUUACAAAUCAAAGACACUUUACAAGUCUAAAAGAACGAAUUAAUAUCACAUUUUAUAGAAAUAUAUAUAGCUAAAUUAAAAGUCCUACAUUUAAUAUUUUAUGUGGCAUUUAUUGUAACAAUAAUAGUGAUUGUUAUAUUUAUUUAGUUAAGCAUUUUUAGCUGAUUGUUGAGUGCUCUGUGCAGUUUUUUUCAUGUUUUAAUUUGUGCAGGGACACUUUAAGAUUGCAUAAAAAAUUAAAAUCUAAAAUCUGACAGACUGAAAAACAACAGUGCAACCUGGUUUGAUAGCGUGUCUGUUUUUUCUCUGUAAGAUAACCAUUUGUUUGUUUUUUACUUUGAAUACUUUAAUUCAAUUCUCAUGUCAUUGUGUAAUUAACAGCAAAUUAAUAAAAUUCAAAAUAAUCACAGAA